UACGGAGGGUGCAAACGUUUUUCGGAAUCAUUGGGCGUAAAGGGCGCGUAGGUGGCGAUGUGUGUCUGAUGUGAAAGCCCGGGGCUUAACUCCGGAAGUGCGUCGGAAACUGCAUCACUUGAGUCUCGGAGAGGAUAACGGAAUUCCUGGUGUAGAGGUGAAAUUCGUAGAUAUCAGGAGGAACACCGGUGGCGAAGGCGGUUAUCUGGACGAAGACUGACGCUGAGGCGCGAAAGCGUGGGGAGCAAACAGG
rnacentral:rRNA from 1 species